UAUNGCACAAUGGGGGAAACCCUGAUGCAGCNACGCCGCGUGAGCGAUGAAGUAUUUCGGUAUGUAAAGCUCUAUCAGCAGGGAAGAAAAUGACGGUACCUGACUAAGAAGCCCCGCCUAACUACGUUCCAGCAGACGCGGUAAUACGUAGGGGGCAAGCGUUAUCCGGAUUUACUGGGUGUAAAGGGAGCGUAGACGGCUGGGCAAGUCAGAUGUGAAAGCCCGGGGCUCAACCCCGGGACUGCAUUUGGAACUGUGUGGCUGGAGUGUCGGAGAGGCAGGCGGAAUUCCUAGUGUAGCGGUGAAAUGCGUAGAUAUUAGGAGGAACACCAGUGGCGAAGGCGACUUUCUGGACAGUAACUGACGUUGAGGCACGAAAGGGUGGGGAGCAAACAGG
rnacentral:rRNA from 1 species